rnacentral:lncRNA from 1 species
GCUGGGUGUGUGCAGCCCCCAUCUUGGCCUUCCUGACCAGGCUUCUGUCCUGGCCCAGCCUCUUCCUCUUUGCCUGGUACUGAAUGAUUUACCUGUCAGGGGCCUGGCCUGGCACACCUUCCCUGGGUCUUAGAGGGUAUCCCCUCCCCUCCUCUCCCCAACCAGGGCAGGGAGCUACAGCUCCCCUCUGAUUGAGAUUCCAUGCCCUGAGGCUGAACAACAAAGAGGUCUCCCCUAGGAAAUGACCCCCCAGAAGCAGUCCUUGAAGGGAGGAUCUAGGGCCUGGGGAUCUGGUGAUAGAGACCAUUGUUCCUGCCCCAGGGCCCCAUUUCCCCAGACUUCCACCCUGUACCCAUCCCCAAGUCCUGCAUUUCCUGGCCAUUACCCAGGAUCUGGCCUCUCCUCCAGGUCCCUCCUCCCUGACUGACGUGAGAGGGCGGAGUCUCCAGGCGCCUGCCAAGCCUGCAGGUGCUGGGCUGCAUGGGGAGGGGGGUCCUUAGCAGCUGGUGUUCGGGCGGCCCCUCCCCCCUCCCUGCUCUAAGCCAGAGCCUGCUUCCUGUCAUCCCUGUCAGCACCCUGGAUGGGGGAGGGAACAGGUAGUGGGAGAAGAGGGAAAAGAACUGAGCAGUUGGAGUGCAGUCAUGGGGGGACUGGGAAACAGCCAAAGAGAAAUAGCAGUGGGGGAAGGCCGAGAAAGGGGCCUGAGAACAGGGGCAGAAAGGACAGAAUGUGCAUCCCAGAGCUGAGUGAGAACACAGGGGAGAUUCAGGGACCUGGGAGGUUGCAGACCCUCAGACAGUGAAGACAUGACUACAGGGAGACCAGAGACAGAGAACCCAGGGAAGGGGAACAGAGACAUAGGGACAAUCUGAAGGAACAGGAGAUGGACACUGCAGAAAGAUGUAGGUUUAGAACAUCUUGUAACCACAGGUGGAAGGCACAGUGUGGGUGGAGGAAGGGGUCACUGUGGACAUAUCGAGGUGCUGAAGUGCCCCUCCACUGAGGAUAUAGAGGUAGGCUGUGAAUAGGGACAGCUGGGCUGGAGGUGGGGCUAUUGGGGAUGCCCCUCCCCCUUUUGGAAGACCAUUCUCCCAUUAAAGGACUGGAGGUAAAAAGGGACCGAGCUCAUGCCACCACUAGACACUGAAGGGCAGGAGAAGUGAUGAGCCUAGAUGUGACUCCAUCUCUCCCCUUUUUCUUUUUGGUCACAGUGGACAGGCCAACAGCUAGGGAAGCUGCCUUGCCCUACUCUAUUAAAUUCUGACCUGGCCUUGGAACUUCUGGGCUUGGAAGCCAUCCAGAAUCUAUGUGAGAGUGGGGAGACCAGGAAGGGGGGCUCAUACCCAGGUGCUAAUCCCCAUCCAGCCAAGGCAGUACCAGAGCCUCAUUGACCUUCUUGGAGAUUAGUCCCCAUGGAGACCACUGGCAACUCGCCCCCUCACUCUGGCUGGG